GAUGAACGCUGGCGGCGUGCCUAAUACAUGCUAGUAGAACGCUGAAGGAGGAGCUUGCUCUUCUGGAUGAGUUGCGAACGGGUGAGUAACGCGUAGGUAACUUGCCUGGUAGCGGGGGAUAACUAUUGGAAACGAUAGCUAAUACCGCAUGACAACAGUUAUUGCAUGAUAACUGUUUAAAAGGGGCAACUGCUCCACUACCAGAUGGACCUGCGUUGUAUUAGCUAGUUGGUGAGGUAACGGCUCACCAAGGCGACGAUACAUAGCCGACAUGAGAAGGUGAUCGGCCACACAGAGCCUGAGACACGGCCCACACUCCUACGGGAGGCAGCAGUAGGGAAUCUUCGGCAAUGGACGGAAGUCUGACAGAGCAACGCCGCGUGAGUGAAGAAGGUUUUCGGAUCGUAAAGCUCUGUUGUAAGAGAAGAACGAGUGUGAGAGUGAAAAGUUCACACUGUGACGGUAUCUUACCAGAAAGGGACGGCUAACUACGUG
rnacentral:rRNA from 1 species